GACUCUCGGCAAUGGAUAUCUUGGCUCUUGCAUCGAUGAAGAACGUAGCGAAAUGCAAUACUUGGUGUGAAUUGCAGAAUCCCGUGAACCAUCGAGUCUUUGAACGCAAGUUGCGCCCGAAGCCAUUAGGCCGAGGGCACGCCUGCCUGGGUGUUG
rnacentral:rRNA from 1 species